AAUGCUGACACCAUGUGAUUUCUUCCCAUUUCUCUGAAUGUCAAAGUGAAGAAAUUCAACCAAGAAUGGUUAAAUGGAGGGAGUAAUUAUGACUCUAUUAAGGCAGCCAAUUGCCUCAUCAUCUAAUUAGUGAUGCACAUGAAUGGAUUAAUGAGAUUUCCACUAUCCUUAUAUAGUAACUAGCGAAACCAUAGCCAAGGGAACAUGCUUGGAAAAAUCAGCGGGGAAAGAAGACCUUUUUGAACUUGAAUCUAGUUCGACUUUGUGAAAUGACUUGAGAGGUGUAGAAUAAGUUGGAUCCAUUUUCAGUCGAAGUCAAAUACCACUACUUUUAAUUUUAUUUUACUUAUUCCUUGGGGAAGAGACGGGGCAUUGCCCCUGUUUUUUGCCAUAAGACACAUUCUAGUGGAUCAAUCUAGGUGGAAGGAAUUCUUAGGUGGGGAGUUUGGAUGGGGUAGUACACAUGUUAAAAUAUAAAAGAGGUUUCGCUCAAUGAGAACAAAAAUAUCAUGUGGAACAAAAGGGUAAAAUUUCAUUUGAUUUUGAUUUUCAAUACGAAUACAUACCAUGAAGUGUGGUCUAUUAUGAAAAUGAAUUUAUUUUGGCCUUAGAUGGUUGUGCAUGUUUUCUCAAUGUGUAAUUUCACUUUUAAUGCAUCUU
rnacentral:ncRNA from 1 species